rnacentral:rRNA from 1 species
UACGAAGGGGGCUAGCGUUGUUCGGAAUUACUGGGCGUAAAGCGCACGUAGGCGGACUAUUAAGUCAGGGGUGAAAUCCCGGGGCUCAACCCCGGAACUGCCUUUGAUACUGGUAGUCUCGAGUCCGGAAGAGGUGAGUGGAAUUCCGAGUGUAGAGGUGAAAUUCGUAGAUAUCGGGAGGAACACCAGUGGCGUAAGCGAUCACCUGGGCUAGACCUGACGCUGAGGGACGAAGGCGUGGGGAGCAAACGGG